CACGUAGUCAACCUGCCCUGGAGACAAGGACAACCCCGGGUAAACUGGGAUUAAUCCUUGAUAGGUCAUCUCAUCCGGAAGGAGAGAUGGCUUAAAGGGGUACGCGGGCUUCUUCCGCGAAUUCGCUCCAGGAUGGGACUGCGUCCGAUCAGGCUGUUGGCGGGGUAAUGGCCCACCAAACCUGUAACCGGUACGGGCCUUGAGAGAGGUGGCCCGGAGAUGGACACUGAGAGAAGGGUCCAGGUCCUACGGGGCGCAGCAGGCGCGAAACCUUCGCAAUGCGCGAAAGCGUGACGAGGUUAAUCCGAGUGACUUCCGCUGAGGAGGUCUUUUGUCAGCUGUAAAUAGGCGGGCGAAUAAGGGGAGGGCAAGCCUGGUGUCAGCCGCCGCGGUAAUACCAGCUCCUCGAGUGGUCGGGGCGAUUAUUGGGCCUAAAGCAUCCGUAGCCGGUUCCGUAGGUCCUCUGUUAAAUCCAACUGCUUAACAGUUGACCUGCAGAGGAUACCGCGGNACUAGGAAGNCGGGAGAGGCGGACGGUACUCC
rnacentral:rRNA from 1 species